rnacentral:rRNA from 1 species
UACGGGGGGGCAAGCGUUGUUCGGAAUUACUGGGCGUAAAGGCUCGUAGGCGGCCAACUAAGUCGGAUGUGAAAUCCCCAGGCUUAACCUGGGAACUGCAUCCGAUACUGGAUGGCUUGAAUCCGGGAGAGGGAUGCGGAAUUCCAGGUGUAGCGGUGAAAUGCGUAGAUAUCUGGAGGAACACCGGUGGCGAAGGCGGCAUCCUGGACCGGCAUUGACGCUGAGGAGCGAAAGCCAGGGGAGCAAACGGG